GAUGAACGCUGGCGGCGUGCCUAAUACAUGCAAGUCGAGCGAACAGACGAGGAGCUUGCUCCUCUGACGUUAGCGGCGGACGGGUGAGUAACACGUGGAUAACCUACCUAUAAGACUGGGAUAACUUCGGGAAACCGGAGCUAAUACCGGAUAAUAUAUUGAACCGCAUGGUUCAAUAGUGAAAGACGGUUUUGCUGUCACUUAUAGAUGGAUCCGCGCCGCAUUAGCUAGUUGGUAAGGUAACGGCUUACCAAGGCAACGAUGCGUAGCCGACCUGAGAGGGUGAUCGGCCACACUGGAACUGAGACACGGUCCAGACUCCUACGGGAGGCAGCAGUAGGGAAUCUUCCGCAAUGGGCGAAAGCCUGACGGAGCAACGCCGCGUGAGUGAUGAAGGUCUUCGGAUCGUAAAACUCUGUUAUUAGGGAAGAACAAAUGCGUAAGUAACUAUGCACGUCUUGACGGUACCUAAUCAGAAAGCAACGGCUAACUACGUG
rnacentral:rRNA from 1 species